UGACCGCUGGCGGCGUGCCUAAUACAUGCAAGUCGAGCGAACAGACGAGGAGCUUGCUCCUCUGACGUUAGCGGCGGACGGGUGAGUAACACGUGGAUAACCUACCUAUAAGACUGGGAUAACUUCGGGAAACCGGAGCUAAUACCGGAUAAUAUAUUGAACCGCAUGGUUCAAUAGUGAAAGACGGUUUUGCUGUCACUUAUAGAUGGAUCCGCGCCGCAUUAGCUAGUUGGUAAGGUAACGGCUUACCAAGGCAACGAUGCGUAGCCGACCUGAGAGGGUGAUCGGCCACACUGGAACUGAGACACGGUCCAGACUCCUACGGGAGGCAGCAGUAGGGAAUCUUCCGCAAUGGGCGAAAGCCUGACGGAGCAACGCCGCGUGAGUGAUGAAGGUCUUCGGAUCGUAAAACUCUGUUAUUAGGGAAGAACAAAUGUGUAAGUAACUAUGCACGCCUUGACGGUACCUAAUCAGAAAGCCACGGCUAACUACGU
rnacentral:rRNA from 1 species